AAUAAUAAUAAUAAUAAAAAUAAAAUAAUAAUAAUUAAAUAAUAAUUAAAUAAUAAUAAUAAUAAUAAUAUUAGUGUUUCGUAUUCGAUGGCUGUAUAGGCUAGUUAUCAUAUCUGAUCGAUAUAAUACUCAGAAACGUUUCGUUCGAGUGUUGGGAACAUGGAAACUAUGAAUGAUUCAACGGACGCACUGUGCUCGUCAUACGCACCAAUUUUAUUCUGUCCAAUUUCAAUCAGUUAAAAUCGUAUCGAUGUAUCGUGUAAUAUACCAGUAUGUUUUACGCGCGAAGAUAAGCCGCUGCUUGGGUUGGUCCGUUUCCAUGUGAGGAGUCUUAAUUGUCGGACAAGUAUUUUAAAACAGCGGUUGACAAAACGCUUUUUAACUCGCAUAUUUUGUAGAAAUAUGAAAUCACGAGCGUAUCGAUGCUUCGUCGUAGAAAAAGACUAAGGAAGCUAGUCUACCCAUAAAAGCUUAAUCCUAACUAAUGGAAUCAAUUCGGAAACAUGUUUGGAAGUCGAUAGAAGUAAAUUUGGCGGACCAUCCCUUGGCAGUUUCUUAGAAAUCGAAGUUUGAAAAUGGAGAGAUUAGACGAAAAUCUUGAAUAAUUACGCGAACGAAUAAUAUCUAAAUCGUUUUCUCUAUGAAAAUGUAAAACCUCUUUCUGGUUUUGCCUUCGUCGGUAUUUCGAAUGUACACGCGCGCGAGUCUCUUGUGCUUUCGUGUUUUCGAACUACCCGGUGCAACUUCUCUUUUCAGUUUCUCUGUUCCUUUCUUUCUUUCCUUUGAAUUAUCGUUAAUCUAAUCGCUCCAUUUAACGAUGCGAAACGAAACAAUUAUUUUGUAUGCGUGUUUUGUUUCUCGAGAAUCAUGUGUCAUGUGCCGAGGGAAAGAAGAAACCAUAGACACAGAGGGAAAGACCGAGCGCAGUGUUACGGGCCGGGACGCGUCGCUAUCGAAGGAUAGGAAAUCGCGUGACAGUGGGUGUAUCUGCAAGUUGUGGAUGAAAACCAGGCAAAAUAAUCAUAUACAUAUAUGCAUAUAUAAACUUGUAAAAAGUUAUACAAAAUAUGUAGCGUGUGAUUUUUCGAUUUCAUAUCUUUUUUUUUGUUUUCGUUUCUUUUCUAUCCACUAUGUCUCAAUAACCCUAACCCGUUCUGACGUCCAAGAGGAAUAUAGAAAUUCGAUUAAUUACACCGUUAUCGGUAGCUAAAAAUUUUAGACGGAUACGAGACAUUUUCCGUUAUCUUUUUUCUUUUCAUCGUACCUUUCGAUCUUUCGUUGAAGUUCUCGGCUAAAUGUACCAAUUGUUGCUCGCACCUUUUUCCGAAUAGUUUCACCAACUAUUUUCUGAUGCGUGAAUCAGACACGAUACAUAAAAUAGGAGAGAAACAACGCGAAGAAUAGAAAAAAGAACACAGAAUCGAAGUAUACCGAUUGCCUUAACGCGAAGUUGCCUGAUAAGCGGAAAGGAUUAAAGGUUCAUCCUUUUCUCGGAAUGCGCGUUUAAGCCGAAGAAAUCUUUUGCACUAGGUACCAUCGAUUAAGAAUAAAACAAACGAUACUGUAUACUUUGUCUAAAUUGAAUAAAUUUAUUGCUAUCAACGCGCAUGUCUCGAUGAAAUGUGCUAGUUAUUUUUUCAAAUUUUUACACGAAUUCGUGAGCGUACAACCUUAGAACGAAGCAAGACUCCACGCACGUUUAACAGAUUGUGUGUAAAAAAAAGAAGGGGGAAAAAAAACACAAAAAACGGGAAAUAUUGAUUUUUCUCGAUAUAAAGUUCAAAGGUAACCGCAGGCUUUUUCCUUUUUAAUUCCGUUUCUGUACUCGACACUGCAAGCUUACAUCUCCCUUGUUUCCACGUCACUUCGGAAGCUGUAAGAUCAUGGAUUUUGUACAUGCUCUGCGAUUAACGUUAUUUUUAUCAUUUUAGUCGUUAUUACGUACUACGGGACAGGGACGGCGCGAGGCAGGUUCAAAGCGUUGCUACGUUCCCUGGAAUUCGGCCUCGCGAUCCUCCUGAAAAUUUCAUCGUUCAUUUUGCGGGCCUCGAUACGUACUAUCAUGCGCGUAUGGGUACUUAUAAAAUUGACUAACUGUUCGAAUUUCAAUAAUUUCCAGUGUGAAACUCGAGUACAAAAUUUGCAGCGUUUCGAGAUCGAAUCGAUCCCUUCGAACCCGAAACAAUUUUCGAAACAGGCUCCGCAAAUAAUCGCGCCGACCCCGCCAUACGAUGUAACAAUAAUAAAUUUGCGAAAGGUAUCGAGGGACAAUGUACACGCCUGUUCGAAUAGUCGAAUGUUAUACUUUCAUUUUAAUUGUUUAUCUGGUUUUCGUCAUUUUCAUUCUAAAAUUUCAGCGUAAUCUUUAACAAAGGCUUUUUACAUUAUAUAUAAUAUAUAACAUGUAUUACGAUAUAUUUAUUGAUAAGAACGAAAGGGUGCCUCGGAGUAUCGUCGUAAGUUUCUCCUAUUCUUUCUUCGUUUUCUAUUUUGUAAAUUGCCUAUCGGUGUGUAAUCGAAUUAAACCGGUCUCUUCGAAAUAAUAUAAAUGUAGAGAUAGAAUGAGAGAGAGAGAGAGAGAGAGAGAGAGAGCGAAAGUUCGACUAAUCUUUUGGGAAUCUGAAUUGUACUAGAGAAUUAAAAAGGGUCGAUAAAGUGAGCUUUGUACGCUUUCUACAAAAAUAUCGACGAUCCUCCUGGAUAUCCUUUUUUUGCAGGAAGGAAAUCAAAUAGAUCGAACGAAACAAAAAAAAAAAAAAAAAAAAGGAGAGAACAUAAACGCGAGGAAGGUUGUUCUCGUGAACGAGGUAACCGGCGAAAAGAAACUAUUCUGGGAUGUCUCGAACGGUUGUUUUUAUCGCGUUGUUUGACCGGAUUUAGACACGGAUCAGAAACAAGAAUUUUCGUGGAUUCGUCGAUAGAAAGUUUUACGCCCGACGAAUGAACAGAAAAAAAGAGAAGAAAUCGAGAAAAAAGUAAGUUUCGCAACGAAUUAGGAAUUUUUUUCGAGCGAUGAAAGGGAAAGAAGUUACUCUGUAAAGACAAAUAAGAAGACGGAGACAAAACGUGAAACGCGUACGACAUUUUCCCUUUUUGCUAUUCGACGAAAAAGUUUUCCUUCUAUUUAACUGUAUGUAUAUUUUACGUACAAUUGCCUAUCGUAUAAGUACGACUAAGUUAUGCGUAUGUACGAAUACGCUCGAUCAAACGUAUAUACAUAUAAUUGCAAACAGGGACUCGCUGAAAAGCGAAUAUACAAAAAUCGAAUAAAAAUAUUAUUAAUCGUU